AACGAACGCUGGCGGCAUGCCUAACACAUGCAAGUCGAACGAGACCUUCGGGUCUAGUGGCGCACGGGUGCGUAACGCGUGGGAACCUGCCCUUAGGUUCGGAAUAACUCAGAGACAUUUGAGCUAAUACCGGAUGAUGUCUUCGGACCAAAGAUUUAUCGUCUUUAGAUGGGCCCGCGUUGGAUUAGCUAGUUGGUGGGGUAAAGGCCUACCAAGGCGACGAUCCAUAGCUGGUCUGAGAGGAUGAUCAGCCACACUGGGACUGAGACACGGCCCAGACUCCUACGGGAGGCAGCAGUGGGGAAUAGUAGACAAUGGGCGAGAGCCUGAUCCAGCAAUGCCGCGUGAGUGAUGAAGGCCUUAGAGUUGUAAAGCUCUUUUACCCGAGAUGAUAAUGACAGUAUCGGGAGAAUAAGCUCCGGCUAACUCCGUG
rnacentral:rRNA from 1 species